GGCUCAGGAUGAACGCUGGCGGCGUGCCUAAUACAUGCAAGUCGAGCGAACGGACGAGAAGCUUGCUUCUCUGAUGUUAGCGGCGGACGGGUGAGUAACACGUGGAUAACCUACCUAUAAGACUGGGAUAACUUCGGGAAACCGGAGCUAAUACCGGAUAAUAUUUUGAACCGCAUGGUUCAAAAGUGAAAGACGGUCUUGCUGUCACUUAUAGAUGGAUCCGCGCUGC
rnacentral:rRNA from 1 species